GAUGAACGCUAGCUACAGGCUUAACACAUGCAAGUCGAGGGGAAACGACAUCGAAAGCUUGCUUUUGAUGGGCGUCGACCGGCGCACGGGUGAGUAACGCGUAUCCAACCUGCCCAUCACUUGGGGAUAACCUUGCGAAAGUAAGACUAAUACCCAAUGAUAUCUCUAGAAGACAUCUGAAAGAGAUUAAAGAUUUAUCGGUGAUGGAUGGGGAUGCGUCUGAUUAGCUUGUUGGCGGGGUAACGGCCCACCAAGGCAACGAUCAGUAGGGGUUCUGAGAGGAAGGUCCCCCACAUUGGAACUGAGACACGGUCCAAACUCCUACGGGAGGAAGCAGUGAGGAAUAUUGGUCAAUGGGCGAGAGCCUGAACCAGCCAAGUAGCGUGCAGGAAGACGGCCCUAUGGGUUGUAAACUGCUUUUAUAAGGGAAUAAAGUGAGAGUCGUGACUCUUUUUGUAUGUACCUUAUGAAUAAGGACCGGCUAAUUCCGU
rnacentral:rRNA from 1 species